AGCCCAGCAACUCCUAUCCCUACCUCCACGCGGUACCGACCGGAAACUAUGAGCAACCUUAGGGAAGAUCGGGUAACCAACCCCGGUGGGAACUUUGGUCGUAGGCUGACAGGGAAGG
rnacentral:ribozyme from 1 species